rnacentral:rRNA from 1 species
AAGUGGUAGGAGAGCGUUCUAUUUGCGUCGAAGGUAUACCGGUAAGGAGUGCUGGAGCGAAUAGAAGUGAGCAUGCAGGCAUGAGUAGCGAUAAUUAAUGUGAGAAUCAUUAACGCCGUAAACCCAAGGUUUCCUACGCGAUGCUCGUCAUCGUAGGGUUAGUCGGGUCCUAAGUCGAGUCCGAAAGGGGUAGACGAUGGCAAAUUGGUUAAUAUUCCAAUACCAACAUUAGUGUGCGAUGGAAGGACGCUUAGGGCUAAGGGGGCUAGCGGAUGGAAGUGCUAGUCUAAGGUCGUAGGAGGUUAUACAGGCAAAUCCGUAUAACAAUACUCCGAGAACUGAAAGGCUUUUUGAAGUCUUCGGAUGGAUAGAAGAACCCCUGAUGCCGUCGAGCCAAGAAAAGUUUCUAAGUUUAGCUAAUGUUGCCCGUACCGUAAACCGACACAGGUGGGUGGGAUGAGUAUUCUAAGGCGCGUGGAAGAACUCUCUUUAAGGAACUCUGCAAAAUAGCACCGUAUCUUCGGUAUAAGGUGUGGUUAGCUUCGUACUAGGAUUUACUCCGAAAGCGAAGAAACUUACAACAAAGAGUCCCUCCCGACUGUUUACCAAAAACACAGCACUCUGCUAACUCGUAAGAGGAUGUAUAGGGUGUGACGCCUGCCCGGUGCUCGAAGGUUAAUUGAUGGGGUUAGCAUUAGCGAAGCUCUUGAUCGAAGCCCGAGUAAACGGCGGCCGUAACUAUAACGGUCCUAAGGUAGCGAAAUUCCUUGUCGGUUAAAUACCGACCUGCAUGAAUGGCGUAACGAGAUGGGAGCUGUCUCAAAGAGGGAUCCAGUGAAAUUGUAGUGGAGGUGAAAAUUCCUCCUACCCGCGGCAAGACGGAAAGACCCCGUGGACCUUUACUACAGCUUGACACUGCUACUUGGAUAAGAAUGUGCAGGAUAGGUGGGAGGCUUUGAGUAUAUGACGCCAGUUGUAUAUGAGCCAUUGUUGAGAUAC